AUCCAGGUCACACCUGCUGAAACACAGAAACAAGACCUGAAGUCCAUACAUCCAGGCCAAUGCCUGUCUUGUGGCACCAGUGGCACUAUUCCCAGGACCACCAAUUGAAGUGAGAUGAGAAACUGAAGUCCAAAAUGAUGAACAACUUGGCUAAAUCACUUGUGGGGUUGGAAGAGGACUCAGGAGACACACUCUACUCCUAUAGAUACACAGAGCUACAGGCCACCAGGCUGGAUGGCAUCACCUUGGAUAAGACUCUUCCAGUCGCUUCAGCCUUGCCAACUAUAAAGUGAAAGACUGAGAUUCAGUGAACUGACCCUGACUCAGAAUGACAUCUCAUGUGGCAGAGCAUUUUGAGAGCCUUUCGGACAACAUCCCAUUGGUGGGUGAUAUCCAGCUGCCCUUCUGCCCUGAGCUGGUACCUACUUUUCCACCCAUCACCUUGCCCACAGAGGGAUUAAAUGACUUCAGUCAAAUGAAGGCACAAAUUGCCAUCCUAGGCUUUUUAACUCUUUAAAUGAGAAUCAAACAAGCAUAGUCUUCAGCAUACAUCAGGAUCUCAAUCCAUCCAGCCCAUUUAUUUACUGACCCACAAUUUUAUCACAUCUGGUGGCUUUUAAAUAUGUCCAAAGUCUUUGACAAUGCGCUAUUGAGUUGGGGAUGGAGAAUGUCCCUUUCCUAUAAAAUGAGCAGUAUGUAAUUAUUGGGAACAUGUGGCUUGAUGAUGCUCAAAGCCAGGUCAUAAAAAGUCAUGCAGACCCAAGUCAUUCACUGUCUCCCUCUUGGAAAGUGGACGUUCAUGUCAGAGGUCCCACUAUGCUGCAACUGUCAUUCCAAAGACAUCACAAAUAAAUGUUCUAAGUGACACUACCCCAGCCAAGACAUCAGAUGUAGAGAUGGAGAAGCCAGGUGAAAAGAAUGGGUCUUUGAGCUCCAUGCUCAGGUUUGUACCACGGUGGUUCUCUGCCUUCAAAUGAGAUGCCUAACCUCUUUGACUUCUGCAAAAUGGGAUUCUUGUUGUGGCAAUGGCACAGUGUUUGUGAAAUCCUAAGCAGAGUUCUUGACUCAGGAAAGUCUGAAGGAAACACAUCAAAAUGAGGCAGCCAUACAUGCCAUCCACUCUGCAAAUCUUGGGGCAUGGCCAUGGACACAGUGUGCUUAUGAAAGUGGCUUUUGAUGACAGAACUUCUGGCAGGCUAGACUUUAGAGAUAAUAAAUGGUUCAGAUUUAGAGAGAUGGCUUGCCAUAUCAACUCCACCUCUGCUUAAGAGAUUGCCACAUAGUGUGUAAAUCUGCCUGCAUGGUAGAGGAGCUGAAACAGCCUGCCUCUUCAGAUGAUGGUGAUGAUGUUGGACUAACAAAAGGAAAAGGAUGUCAGUUCCAUAAUGCUCUGUGUAAUGGUUCCAAAUGUCUGGAAUCUCUGUGCCCUCUAUCUCUUUGCUGCUCACACCGUGGCACCAGUUCCAGAAGCUAUGAAAUGACACUUGACUUCCAUCAUUAGCCUUAGUAUCUGUCCUACCUCCCAAGUGAAAAUUCCUGUCCUACCUCCCUAUCCCUGUCUUCAUCUUUCUCUCUGCCUUUAUCUCCCCCACCCUCCUCUUCCUUCCUUGCCUCCCUCUUCUUUCACACUCCAACUUAAGACAUUGCCUUGCAUGAGGAAUGAUUGAGGUAAACCAGUAAUGAGAGAGAGAGAGAGAGAGAGAGAGAGAGAGAGAGAGAGAGAGAGAGAAUGUGUGUUUGGGCAGUGGAGGGAAGGGAAGUAUCUUCUAGAACCAAGUACCAUUAGUCUAGUAAGAGAGCAUCCAGGUCAAUGCCAUCCUGAAGAACUCUCUUCUCUACCCUGGAGACUGAAACCAGCAGGCUCUCUCAGUAAGGAAGAGCAGAUGGCAAGAAGACAAGGACUUUAUCUCUGGGAUUUUACUUUAGCAGUAGCCAAGAGACUAACAGGGCAGGGCAUGCCUUUCAUCUUUCCCCACAUGGAUCUCAGGUACCUGACACAGCCUGGCUCCUCCUCUAAUCUUCCUGUCACCAGGAGCUUGGCUGUGGUGGAGUUGUGAGGAGAAGAGAAGUGUGCUCCAAGGUUGCAGCAAGGAGCUGAACAACACCCAGAAGGAAGGAUGGGAGAAAGAAGAGUAGGGGUAUUGUGGCAAGAAUGGCAGGAGGUUAGAGGAGGGCACACCUAAAAAUUUUUUUCUUUUUUCUUUAUUUGAAAACAACUUGAGAAAAAAAAGAAAGAAAGAUGGGUGGCAUCCGAAGAAUGACAUAACAGGCAGAACUAGUCUAACUUUGGGCACACUCUUACCUCUAAGUUUCAUACUUCAAAAAGGGUCUUAUAGAGUGGACCAAGCCCUUGGCCCCUAUGGCUUAACUUCUCAUGAUUUUGUUGAGCCUUACUUUCUUUAUCUAUAAAGUACAGCCUCAAAGAUCCAGAGUAAGACUUAAACUGAAUGGUACAGGGAUGUGUCUUAGCAGAGGCCCCAAAGAGUUCAAUGUUCUCCAAACACAAGUUCCACUUCCCUUCCUGUUUCUCCUCACUUACCUUCAUGAAACAGAAUGUCCUUUCAGCUUUAAAAAGCAAAAUGUCAAGGGUAAAGCCAUAGGCAUAGGAGCAAGUUCCUGCAACACUAGUUCAAGGUGCCUACAUGAACCCAGCCUUAAUAGCUGGCUUUGACUUUGCACUAGUUGCUGAAGUGCUCUCUGCCUUUAAGGUUGAUGGCGUCAGACUUCUCCAGGACCAGCUAGGUGAGGUUAAGAGCAACAGCCCGACUGACACUGAAGAGCUGCACCUUAAGAAGGUGAAUGGUUGCCUCAUGGCCAUUCAUGUGCCAGAAGUAAGACUGGCACAACUCACAAUAUCCCCCCUUCAACCACAGCCAGGAUUCUGCAAAGAGCUAGGCUGUCUCCAUCUGUCACUCUGCACAUGUGUGUCCAGGAUUCCCCAUACUUGCUGCUAACAUCUGGAUCUCAGUGAUCCACACAGCUAGUGAGUGACAGAGUCUUGAGGGAGGUAUGUCCCAAGGCAGAAGCUCUCCAGGGAUGUAGUUCUCAUCCUCCUAAGAACCACUUCCCUCCAGCUUGGAUAUUAGACAACAGCAUGCAUAUGGAAUGCCCAAGUGCUUGUAAAAAGAUUAUUACUAAGUAAGAGUGGAUGAUGAUAAUUAAUUACCCUCCAUUAAAGAGAAAGUCCCUGGAGCAGGAGCAUCAAAGGCAAUAUUCUACUGAGUCGGCAAUUCCUUUGGCCACGCAACAGGAUGACUCCACAGCCUUCUUCACGUGACUGUUUGUUCUCUCCAAUACUGACUUAAAGAACACACUUUGGCUUUGGACAGCUUCCUUUAAUCCCCAUUUUCUCCCCAUCUACACUCUAGUAAUCAUCAUUACUAAAACCUCACACCAGAAAUAGGUCACAGAUCUAUUUCACAGCAUUCCUUUGAUGGGUUAGUUCAUGGCUACUCUCUAAAGUCUAAAUUAAAAGAAAGUCACCUUUAAUGAAGAGCAAAAUCUAUCUGCCAUUCAACACGGAGGAACCUAUGACAAAUAAACGUAUAAAGACACAUUCCAUUUCCUCCUAUACAGUCUACCAGGAGAGGCGUAGUCAUAACAGGAAGACAUGGCAUGGCUCCAGAAGAAGCCAAAAGCCAGCCUAACUUUCCUCCAACUCCUGGCAAUGAAGCACACAUCCAUUCUCUUAGAAACAAGUAUUUGGGGAAGAUGACUGAGUGGAUAAAGCUCAUGCUAUACAAGUGUGAGAACCUGAGCCAGAUUCCCUAGUAUGCACAUAAAAGCCAGGCAAGGAAAAAGUGUGUCAGAAAUCCCAGUACUAGGGAGACAGACACAGCGGAUCUCACUGGAGCUUGCUGGUCAGCCAGCCUAGCUAAGUCACCAAGUUCCAGGUUCAGUGAGAGACCAUGUCUCAAAAUAUAAGGUGGGGAGUAACAGGGGAAGACACCUGACAUUGGCUUCUAGCAUUCUUCACACAAAAGAGCACGCACAGAGAGAGGGGGGACAGAGAGAGACAGAGAGACAGACAGAGAAAGAGAGACAGAGAGAGAAAAUGUGCAUAAACAUGUAUACACAGAUAAAACAGAUACAAAGAAAUAAAUAUUUGAUAUAUGGUCCUUUGGAAAACAUAUUCUGCCCUGUAAUUCUGAUCAGUAGACUUUGUGACCAAUGAGAAGGUCUUUCCUUACUGACCAAAGCUGACCAUGAAGGGACCCUCUGGGAAGGAAUAUUAGAAUACCUGUAUAAUAAAAGGGGUGUAGGAUCUAUGGAAUCAGGCAGUUGAGCAGGUUCUGCUAUUCCUGCUCACAUGACCCAGAGGUCUCUGGUUAUUCACCACCUUAUCAGUAAGAAAAUACAGGAAAAUAAUUCUUACCUAAAGUGAUUCUUAAGGAGCUGCUGAUAACUGCCAGGACCUAGCUCAGCUUCCGACCAUGUCACUUUCUAUCUGUCAAUUUAAAUAAUUACUUUCUUGUGACUUGGUGGUAGGGAAUGAAGCCAAACUCCAUUAUAUCCCAGUGUCCAUAAAACUACCUGGACCUUUGUAGUACCUAACCUCUAUUUGUUAAGUGAACUAAUGCAUCAGAACUAUAUUUUUGCAGUUGGUGCAUUCAGAAUUUUGGCAAAUUGGAAUACCUGUGCACCCUAGAGUAGGGAGGAGUAAAAGGGGUACAAUUAAGAGAUGUCAGGACUCUUGUGAGGCCAAAUGUAGGGGAGAUGGGUUGGACAGAUGGCUCAGUGGGUAAAGCACUUUUACUGUAAGCCUGAGAAUCUGGGUUUGAAUGAUAGUCCCUGCUUAAAAAUUUAGGUGUCAUCACCUGUAUUUUCAAUGCUAGUGGGUAGAAACAAGAGGAUUAUAGAUGCUCACUGGCCAGCUAGGUUAGUCAAUCUGUGAGCUCUAGGUUCAAUGAGAAACCCUAACUCAGUACUCAGUAAAUAAGGUCAUGAACAAUAAAGGAAGAUAUCUAAUAUUUGCCUCUGACCUACACACACACACACACACACACACACACACACACACACACACACACACACGCACGCACACACACACUCAUAUGCAUACACAUGCCUGUGCACAUAUAUGUAAACACCAUAUAUACACAGGAACAAACUUGUGGAGACUGUAUAAGACUAGAAAGGUAAGGGUUAGAGGAAAAGCUCAGUGGUUAAGAGUGCUUUUGUUGAGGAUUUGAUUUUAGUUUCUAAACACUUUUAUUAGGUCACUCCCAACUUGCCUUUAAUUCUAGAACCAGGAUUUCCGAUGCCCUGUUAUGGCCACUAUGAAUACAACACUCACCGGCACAAAACCACACAUAGACACAUACAUGGACACAUAGUUAAUACUUACUUAGUUAAUUAAUUGAUUAAAAAAAUUUAAAAUAGAAAGUUGCAGGCCUUCAUCAGGACUUUCAGUCUUCUAGACUGCCCCUGUGAACACAUCCUAAUCAUCAUGACCAGAAUCAUUAGGGGCCAGGACAGACAUCUAAUCUCAGUGUUUCAACACAACCAAAGCUCAUUUUCCACUCUCCAAUUACUCUUUGUGACUUUGUAGAAGUUUUCCUCCAACCUUUGCCUUUCCAUCUCAUCACAGGCCUUUCAUGGUUGCCCCAGCAGGCUAAAGGGAGGUGGAUGUAGCGUAGUGUCCUUCUCCACCCAGACUCUAAGCUGGCAAGAAUCAUUUCUGACCACAGCCAUGAACUGCAAUCCAGCUAAACACAGAACACAGGUAAUCAGUGGUCACCACUGCUCUGAGGAUCCUGUGGCUGGCCAUCCCAAUAACCACACUGUGGUGACUGACUGGAAGUGCUGGAUUCCCUCCCUCCUUAUGUCUUUACUAAGGCAGACAUGGGGCUUAGAAGCAGUGUAAGCUUGGGGAGGAGAUGGUCAUUAUCUUUCCCUUCUUCCCUGACAGACAAUGGAUUACACUACUCCACAGUCAUGGUAUCUGUUAUGGUUUGAAUGUGAGUGAUCCACAGACUCAUAUGUCUCAAUAUCCAGUCCCCAGCUGAUGGUGCUGUGUAGAGGUACUGUGGAACCUUUGGAGCAAUGUCCUAGGGAUCAAAAGUGGGUUGCUAGAGUAGGCUUUAAAGGUUAGAUCAUCUUCCAGUGUCUGUGUUGCUGGAGUAGGCCUUAAGGGUUAGGUCAAUGUCUGGUUCCAAUCUAAGCUGAGCUGUCUUUUCCCAGCCUACGAAGAUGUGAGGAGCCUCUACUGCACAUUUCUACUGCCUGAGCUCAUGGUGCCUUCACUGACAUGAUGGGCCAAAACAGUGAGCCAAAAUAAACCCUUCCUCCCUUAAGUUGCUUCUGUUGGGUAUCCGAUCACAGCUGCAAGAGAAGCAAUUAAUAUGAUGUGUUGUGGCUGGUUCCCUUGCAGCAACUCAGCUGACAGAGACCACAGAAAAUCUCUCAUGGUACUCUGUCUCUGUGGCGCUCUCUCUCUCUCUCUCUCUCUCUCUCUCUCUCUCUCUCUCUCUCUCUCUCACACACACACACACACACACACACAGGCCAUCCCUCACUCUCCAGAAUGUUCAGAGAGUACUUACUUACAAUCUAAGUAUGCCUGCCAUGAACAGCGCUGUCUACCAGAAGAAAGGAUCAACCCAUUACAUCAGACAACAAAAGAUGACUUUGUCACUGUUUACAGAGGCUGAGACCUACAGGUGAAGAAGGUACAACUCCUGUGACAAGCUCUGACUCAGAGAGCAAGAUAAAGUAGACCGUAGUGCUAAAGGGAUAGAUGUGCUGGCCAGUAAAGCCCUGGGGUUUGGAAAGGACGCCUAUAUUUCAAGCUGUGGCUUUGCCAAGGGUUUUCUGUGAGCGAGGAAAAGCUUCAGUGGUUUUGAAUUGUCCACUCCUUGGCUGUGGGCCAACCCACACUUCCCAACACCUUCCUAAAGCACCCCUCACUGUCCCCAACUCUGUGAAGGGGGCCAUCUCUAUGGCCUCCCAGAGCUUCAGCAUUCUAUUGUGGCAAACACAUGGAGAGUUUUGUUAAAAAAAAAAAUCCUAGAAGAAGAAAAGGAGAGACCAAGCUUAUUAAACUCCCCCAGCCCCCUUCAUCUGGCUGUGUGGAUUCUUUUAAGUCAGUGACUGGAUUUCUUUGAGGUCUCAGUACGUGCUGCUGUGCAUGGCUGGUUUAGUGGACGAAAAGGGAGGUAAGAAAAGCUUUGCACUGGGUAAAUAAAAACCCCUUUGUUAAUUCCGGAGCCACUGACAAGGCCAUGGUCUAUGUCAGGCAGCCUACACAGAAGGUUCAAUUCUUCUGGGACUGAAAACAAGGAACUAGAGAAACUCUCCCCCCACCACACUGCAUAACUUUGUCCUGUGCCUGCUAAGUUAUUCCCUGCUAAUGCAUCAGCUGUGAGAGCCUCAUAAAACACGCCAUGGUUAAAAUAAAACUCAAGCCCCAAGCAUAGAUUUUUAUUUAAAAAGAAAACUGUUAAGUUGUCUAAAAGUUAGUAUCCUCCAUCUCCCUCCCCCCCCCCAAAAAAAAUAACCUAAAUCAUUCAUUUUCUGGCCAGCCCUUUGUGUUCUCGAAUCCUGACCUAACCAGAGUGAACUCUAAUGUGCCCAAGGGUUGUGAGCAGCCCAUCUGAAGCAGCUUAGAAAUGUUGGACAGAAACAGGCCUCAGGUGAUAUACCCCAAGAGCUGGCUCCCAGAAUACCUUCCACAUGGUUCUCUCCAGGAAGCUUCUACUAGUGCUUUGUAGAUCUUCACAUGUCUAGAUUUCCAAAGAACAGUCUCUCCUCCUCCUUUCUCUCUCUCUCUCUCUCUCUCUCUCUCUCUCUCUCUCUCUCUCUCUCUCCUCUCUCUCUCUCUCUCUUUCUCUCUCUCCCCUUAUUUAUUCAAUGUGAGGUGACUGUUAAAUACUGGGAAUUAAGCUUGGCCAUGUGUCACAUGUCUAUUACAUUCUAAAUACACCAACAAUAACACACCAAAAAACAGUAUUAAGAAGCCACACUGCUGUUAUUCAUGCCAUCUGCCUUCCUGUGUGUGUCGUGGAGCACAACCAGUCUCCUCAAGGAACGCUAGCCACUUGCAGGUAACCCAAAGUGUAAAUUGGGUGAAUUAUUCCUGAGAGAUGUGAACAGAGCAGGAACAGAUACCCGAGCCUGAGGUCACUGCAAACUCAGAUUAAGGCCCUGCUUUCCUCAGGACCGUUCUCUUUCCAUUUAGUGAGCAGGUGCACAUGGCCAGCGUGGUGCUGAGAUCUGCCUCAUUGGUCUCUGGGAAUCACAACUCUGCUGUUUACAGAGCUCUGGGACCCCAGCUCCACAACCACUUUGGUACAUUGGUCCUGCUGUAAAAAUCAUGGCAGCAUCCCAACACCCAAGCAUAUUCACAGAACCUCUCAGCUUUGACCAGACACCUGGUUUGCUGCUUUCUAGAAGGCAAAGGCUGUAAGCCAUCUUUAACAGAGGCCCCCUCCAUAAGACUUGACUUAGCUCCAGAUUUUUCCCACUAGAUGAAGAGUGUCCCGUGGGAACCUGGCCUACUGUCACAAAGCCCUAUGGCUUCCCUCUUACAGAGCCAAACUCCCGGAUGAUUAUCCUAGAGUUGGUCUUGCUGUGUCCCUCCUCCAUUUUGCCACCGGUAUAGGGGCUGACUAGACUGACAGCCAUGGAGCUACAGUGCUAAGGCCAGCUGAGGGAUCUGGGGAGGCAAGCUAUAAGUUGGUCAUGGCUUUUGAGCAAGCCCUGGCAAGUGAAACCCUGUAUUCACUCCAGUUCUUUCUAGUCUAAUAAGCCACAUGCUGGUUUUCUUAGCAUCACAGGACAGCAUGCUGAGGCCGAGAGGCCAGCCUGUUUGAUGUCCUGCUUUGGACAUUUGCAUGUCAAAGCAAGGAGGCUACAUGAUUAUGCGUCACGAAUUACAUGAAGUUUCCUGUCUCUCUCUCUCCUAACUCUGCCCUGACAAUUCCAUCCCUGACCUUGACCGCUGUGAAAUCCCCACUGAGGGGGCAGGAUUAAAGUAUUCCAUUUGUGUUGUGAUUCUAAUUGCUCUACCUCCAAUUACUUUUAGAGUUGAGUUCUUCCAGCCUCCUCAGAGAACUGCAGUCUUAGAAUUACCAAGGAAGGCAGAAGGAAAAAAAAAAAAAAAACAAGGGAGGAUUUAGGAGUCAGACAAGCCUGGAUUUGAAUUGUGAUUUAACUACUUAUUAAAGAGUCCUUGCCAGGAGUCCUUAACUCUGCAGUUUCCACAGGUAGGAGGUGGAGGCAAUACCUUCUGCACAGGAUGCUCUGAAUGUCACCUAAGAAUGCAGCACAAAAAUAACCGUCAUUAUGGAAAGGCUGGUGUUUUCCAAACAACCUGCCAGUUCUUUGGUUCUUUAAAGGCCAGUACAACUCUCUGAAACCCAUUGCCCCAGAUUUACCGAAGGAGACAUCAAAACUCAGACUAUUUAAGUCAGUUCAUCCAGAAAUAGAUCCUGACAAACACCUCAGAGUUUAUACUCUUUCUCCAAAUCUCCUCCCUCACAAAGACUCUCAAAUAUCCCCAGGGCCUCUUGUCCUAUACCCCCACCCCCACCCCAGAAUCUGUGCCUUGAUCUGUGAGCCCCCAACCUCCUGGCCUGACUCUGUCUCACCUUGUCUUGUCUUUCCUCACUCCCCUCUCUGAACAUAGCCCUGGCAUUUUGCCCUCCUUGUACUUCCUUCUGGCCUUCACCUUGGCAGUUGCCUGAAGAGUGCUCUCACCUUGAGUCUCUUCUAGGCCUCUUGAAGAUUAUAAUGCUUGCUGCACUGUCACUUUUUUGAUAUUUCUGUCUUUUUUUUUUAAGAGGGCUUGUCAUCAGUGUUUCUAGCCUGAUCAAAAAGUUCUUCGGGGGCCAGGGAUUAUGGGGCACAAAUUUUGAGAAAGUUUUACAUUUAAGAGGAGAGUUUUUGAUGACUUCUUUCUCACACCCCUGUGGCCUAGGGUAUAGAAGCAUGCUUGGGACAGUGGGGAUGUUCACUAAGUCAUUGGUAGGUAUAAGAACACAGAUGCAAAGAACACCUCCUACAUGUGUGUUCCCCUCACUGGAACUUUUUCACACCUGAACUGUUUCCCUAGGAGUUUAAGUUAAGUAUUUGAAAGCAAAUAUAAACAUUGCUGAUGUCUUAGCACUAACUAGUAGUUCUAACCGUUUAGUGGGGUAAAAUACUACACUGUUAAAACUAAGACACCCACACCCGCGGAUCCCGGCCCGCAGCAGCUCUCUGCUCCCAGACCCGGUGAGAGAGAGACCCAACCGCCUGGUCAGGUGGGCACUCCUGAGGCUGCAGAGCGGAAGAGACCACCAACACUGCUCACC